rnacentral:tRNA from 1 species
AAGGAUUUAAGUUAACCAUACAAACUAACGGCCUUCAAAGCAGUAAAUAAAGAUAGCUUUAAGCCUUAGGC